GACUCUGUAGUUGAAUAAUACAACAGUAAAUUGCAAGUUUAAAGGUGUAUAGUUUGUACCAGGGUU
rnacentral:tRNA from 1 species